rnacentral:lncRNA from 1 species
CCUCAUCUCCUUGACCCUGAGUCUCAAAUCGACUUUCAACAGGUACAUUACUUUGAGCAUCAUCAGCUGUAUCUCGGUUAGAAUCCAUUACUAUAAAAAAAACAUUUUAAGAUGUCAGGAGUCGUCACACCAUCAUUAUUCAAUUAUGGCAUGUAUAGAUAGUCUAUUACACUCGCUACGUUAGUCCGAGAAUCGACUAAACCGUAGCUCUGAUACCACUAAAUGUAACACCCCUUACCCGAGACCGUCGCCGGAAUCGAGUACGAGAUGUUAUCCAAUUUAACUUACCAAUUCGGA